UCUCCAUUCUCCUUGUGGUACAGUUACAGACCCACAUGCUUUUAUGUGGGUGCUGGGCCUCUGGACUCAGUUCCUCAUGCUAGAGCAGCAAGUGGCUUGACCCACAAUUGAGCCAUCUCCCCAAGCCCCAGGUAUAAGGUUCUUGGUCUGUGGUCAGUUAACCCAAAAGGCUAAAGCUAACUCAGAGCACCCAGAGGAGUGUAAAACACUCUUCAGGAAAGCAGCAAGAACAAAACGGCACAGCUGAGAUGGCUUAAACAAUGGAAAUGGAUUUUCUCAUAAUUCUGGUAGCUAGGAGAACCAACAUCAAUGUGUUAGCCAUGCUGGUUUCCCCUAGGCCUUUCUCCUUGGCUUGCAGACUGCCACCUUCUCAGUGUGCCCUCAAAUAGUCUUUCCUGGGUGCAUGCCUUCCUGGAGUGUGGGGGACAAAAAUUUCCUCUUCUACAAAGGACAUCAAUUAUAUGAGGUCAGGGCCUCAUUUGUGCUCCCAUUUCAUGUUGUCACUUCUCUUUCCAAACCCGGCUACAUUCUGAGCAACCACAGCUGAGAACUUGGACAUAUGGAUUCAGCCCAGGGCGACUAGAGUUGCCCAAUCCUUCCAGGACAGACACCUUGGGAGGGCUGAGGCCUCUUUUCAAGGUAAGGUCACUUGUUUUAGAGCCGACUGUCACUGAAAACAAACAAACAAACCCAGUCUUGUUCCAGGUGGCACACAGGUCUGAGUCAGACUUACCAGGGAAAGAAAGCUACUGUGUGCCCGUUUUCACUGAAGCCUCUUCAGAGCAAGGCUUUGGAGUGCAUUUGUGGGGCUGGUCGUGCCAGCAGUGGCCUUGAUAUGAGGCAAGACUCUACCUUGCUCCACAAACAAAGAUAAAGCCAAGUGGGAAGCAUGUGGAUGAAGAACGGAUGGUUCCUUCCUCCAUCAGCAUGCUCACAGAAACCAGGAAAUGGAGAAGAAAUUCUGCAGUGAGGUGGCUGUUUGGAGCCUGAGAGAGCUUGCUGGACAAUACAGUCAAGAAUAACAGACAAGCGACCCAUUGUUCUUCCAAUUUUACUUUUCGUGCAAGUAGCAAAUAGCUCUUAAGUCACAGAACCUCUUGUGCGAAGCUCCGUGGGACUCUAAUUUUUAGAGACUUGGAAGUAGCAAAAGGUGUGUGCUGUCAUGCUACACAGAGAAGGUAUCUGGUUGCAAAACCCGAACUCCUACUCCUGUCUCUUGGUGAGCGUUUAAGGCAGAACACACUGACCCGCCUCAGCAGAUAACAUCGGCAUUCAGAGAAAUACCAGGAGUCCAGCAAUCACUGCACACGGCAGCUACUUUUUGGCAGAUUCGGAGCCCAUCUAGAGUACGGGUGGCAAGUGAUGGCACCACCAAUGAGGCGGACACCGGCUGUCUCAUCUCUCAAGAAGACGUGUUGAAUGAUCGGAUCGUGGAUCAUCUAAAUUAUGCCCCGUGCAGUCUAACACAUAAUAGAACCUAGAAGGGAUUUGCCACACCAGGAGUUAAUUAGACUUCUGGUUCCCAAGGUGCCGUGGAACGUCUCUUGACUUUGUGCUCAUUAAGUUUUACUGUAAUGAGGGGUUGGAUGCCUUUACUUCUCAUUAGAAUAUACCGUGAGAAGUUAAGUUGCCUGAUCAUUGUUGUAUUCCCAUUGCUACAAUAUACCUGGAUCAAAUAAUAUUAAGAGCCCAAUAAAUACUUUAUGAAUAAAUAAGUUAAUAGUUGCUCAUAUUUUACAUUCAAGU